rnacentral:rRNA from 1 species
AUUGAACGCUGGCGGCAGGCCUAACACAUGCAAGUCGAGCGAGCGGCGGAUGGGUGAGUACUGUGUGGGAACCUGCCUGUUGGAGGGGGAUACCGACUAGAAACGGUAACAAAUACUGCGUACCAUUAGAUGUGCGCAGGUGGGAUUAGCUAGUAGGUGGGGUAAUGGCCCACCAAGGCGACGAUCCCUAGCUGGUCUGAGAGGAUGACCAGCCACACUGGAACUGAGACACGGUCCAGACUCCUACGGGAGGCAGCAGUGGGGAAUAUUGGACAAUGGGCGAAAGCCUGAUGCAGCCAUGCCGCGUGUGUGAAGAAGGCCUUCGGAUUGUAAAGCACUUUCAGUUGGGAGGCGUUACCCGCAGAAGAAGCACCGGCUAACUCCGUGCCAGCCGCCGCGGUAAUAC